GACGAACGCUGGCGGCGUGCUUAACACAUGCAAGUCGAGCGGUAAGGCCCUUUCGGGGGUACGACGAGCGGCGAACGGGUGAGUAACACGUGGGUGACCUGCCCUCAGCUCUGGGAUAAGCCUGGGAAACCGGGUCUAAUACUGGAUAUGACUCCAUGACGCAUGUUGGUGGGGUGGAAAGCCUUGUGCGGCUGAGGAUGGGCCCGCGGCCUAUCAGCUU
rnacentral:rRNA from 1 species